rnacentral:rRNA from 1 species
GACGAACGCUGGCGGCGUGCUUAACACAUGCAAGUCGAACGGUAAGGCCCUUCGGGGUACACGAGUGGCGAACGGGUGAGUAACACGUGGGUGAUCUGCCCUGCACUUCGGGAGAAGCCUGGGAAACUGGGUCGAAUACCGGAUAGGACCACUGCCUGCAUGGGUGGUGGUGGAAAGCUUUUGCGGUGUGGGAUGGGCCCGCGGCCUAUCAGCUUGUUGGUGGGGUGAUGGCCGACCAAGGCGACGACGGGUAGCCGGCCUGAGAGGGUGACCGGCCACACUGGGACUGAGAUACGGCCCAGACUCCUACGGGAGGCAGCAGUGGGGAAUAUUGCACAAUGGGCGCAAGCCUGAUGCAGCGACGCCGCGUGAGGGAUGACGGCCUUCGGGUUGUAAACCUCUUUCAGCACCGACGAAGCGCAAGUGACGGUAGGUGCAGAAGAAGGACCGGCCAACUACGUGCCAGCCGCCGCCGUAA